UCCUGUAACACGAAACCUCUUUUCUGAACGAGCGGGGUCCCGUCUGAUCUCGGAAGCUAAGCAGGGUCGGGCCUGGUUAGUACUUGGAUGGGAGACCACCUACGAAGACCAGACGCUGUAGGCG
rnacentral:rRNA from 1 species